UACGUAGGGGGCAAGCGUUGUCCGGAAUUAUUGGGCGUAAAGCGCACGCAGGCGGUCUGCCAAGUUUGGAGUGACAGUUGGUGGCUCAACCACCGAAGUGCUUCGAAAACUGACAGACUUGAGGGCUUCAGAGGGACACGGAAUUCCGGGUGGAGUGGUGAAAUGCGUAGAGAUCCGGAGGAACACCGAAGGCGAAGGCAGUGUCCUGGGGAGUACCUGACGCUCAGGUGCGAAAGCUAGGGGAGCGAACGGG
rnacentral:rRNA from 1 species